CCUACGGGUGGCAGCAGUGGGGAAUAUUGGGCAAUGGGCGCAAGCCUGACCCAGCCACGCCGCGUGAGUGAUGAAGGCCUUCGGGUCGUAAAGCUCUGUGGGGAGGGACGAAAACACGCUGGCUAAUAUCCAGCGGCUUGACGGUACCUCCUUAGCAAGCACCGGCUAACUCUGUGCCAGCAGCCGCGGUAAUACAGAGGGUGCAAACGUUGCUCGGAAUCAUUGGGCGUAAAGCGCACGUAGGCGGUCCAGCAAGCGGGGAGUGAAAGCCCUCG
rnacentral:rRNA from 1 species